rnacentral:rRNA from 1 species
GACAGAGGGUGCAAACGUUGUUCGGAAUUACUGGGCGUAAAGCGCGUGUAGGCGGCUAUGCAAGUCGGAUGUGAAAGCCCUCGGCUCAACCGGGGAAGUGCACCCGAAACUGCAAAGCUAGAGUCUCGGAGAGGAUCGUGGAAUUCUCGGUGUAGAGGUGAAAUUCGUAGAUAUCGAGAGGAACACCGGUGGCGAAGGCGGGCGAUCUGGACGAUGACUGGACGCUGAGACGCGAAAGCGUGGGGAGCAAACAGG